UACUAGCCGCUGUCAGAACUAACAGCUAACAGGUUACAAAGGUUUACGUUAGUUUAAGUUCUGUUUGUUUACCUCAAGGUCUGGGGCCUGUUGCACAAAAGUAGAAUUAAGACAUCCGGGAUAAAUGACUCAGCUGAGCUCAAUGAAGCCAAAACAUGUGCGUCCAGGCUUAAUUGGUUGCACAAAGACCAAGCCAGGAUGAGCAGACACGGAUUCAUUAAGCCAGGUGAAACCAAUCCUGGAUAGGUGCGCGCUCAAGGCUCACUCAAAUAGACCCCGCCACAGAUCACAGAUGAACUGAUUUACCAUGGCAACUAGAGCCGCGUACUUUUCCCCGUCGGAAGCACAAAUCCUCAUGGAGGCAUACGAGGAGGUAAAAGAUAUAAUUAAGAAGAAAGGCAACACCGCCACAGUGAUAAAGCAAAGAGAAAAAGCGUGGCAAAGUAUUGCAGACCGCCUGAAUGCGUAAGUAGUGCACAAUUACACACUCACCGCUCCGCUGAAACAUCACAAUUACAAUUCAAAUAUUUAAUUCACAUCUCCAAAAAUGCAGUUGUACUGUAAUUAUGAAACGGUUAAAUUUUUAAUUGAAAUGCACUGCAGAUAUGAGUGAAAUUGAGUAAAGUAACUCCAUCACACUGUAUAAAGCUAUGAUAAACUUUUUGAUAUUUUUACUGAAAACAAGACAAAAAUACCAAGUAAUUUUUUGCAGUGUGACUCCAUUAAAUGUGUGUGUGUGUGUGUGUGUGUGUGUGUGUGUGUGUGUGUGUGUGUGUGUGUGUGUGUAGAUUAAACAUGAACGGGCCAAAACGGACAUGGCAGCAGGUCAAAAUCAAAUACAAGAACAUUCUGCAGAAUGCAGUGAAAAAGAAUACCCACAGACAAGGCACGGGUGGUGGGUCACCAAAGGCUGACCUUACCCCAGCAGAGGACAUGGCCUUGGAACUAAAUAAAGGCAGGCCCGUCUUAGAGGGGAUCCCUGGGGGGAAAGAGACGAGCAUAGGUUCCUCCCAAGAUGCCACCCGCUUCAUUCAAGUGCCUGGCAGCACUGUGUUCCUGUUAGAGCCACCAGCACAAGCACCAGACGAUGCUGAUCCAGGUGAAGGCUCCAGUGCAGCAGCAACAGCACAUGAUGGAGACGAUGAUGAGGAGGAGACCAUCUCUCUGGAUUCCAGAAGGCAUGAGGACCCAGAUGCUAUACAGUGGGAAAACCAGCCUGGCAACAUAGUGCGUAUUAAUAAAAGGACACCACAUCCUGCCAAAUUCCAGCUGCGCUAAUUGUAUUGUGUUCACAGAGCUCACAAGCUAUCAGAAAGUUGUAUGGCAACCACCUCCGGCGCCAAAUAGAACUGGCAGACAUAGACAUUCAGUACAAGAAGAAAAAGAUGGAAAAUCUUGCACUGGAGUCCGAAAUAAAAAAGAGGACAAUUAGGAAACUGGACCUUGAAAUAAAAAAACUUGAGAGGGAGCUCCAAGAAGAUGACACAGCUCAAAAUAAAAAUUAGGUAUAUUCUCGUAAAGUCAAGUGAGCCAUGACAUAUGAGCUCUUAUUGUGAGCACACAGGACGGUGGCAUCUUUCUAAGGUUUUUUUUAUUUUCCCAGCAAUCAGUACAACCAAGUCAUCGUUAUAAGGCAUCGCCCUCUUUUGCCCACCCCCAGCACCAGGUGUGGCCACUAGCCUAUAUGAAGGCCCAAAAUUGUGUGUUCCUUUCUGCUCUGACAAUGGCAUGCCCAUUCGUGCGAGAUGUGGUGGAUGAAGAAGCACUUGUGCUGAGGAGAGCCUUCAGGCGAGAAAGGGUCUUCAGGGACCGGUUGGACCCACUGGCCUUCCCUGAUGACCAUCUAUAUGAAAGAUACAGGUUUUCUGCAGAUGGCAUCAGGUAUCUAUGCAGACUACUGGGUCCCAGGAUUAAGCACCGCACUGCACGGAGCCAUGCACUGAGUGUGGAGCAAAUGGUUUGUGUGGCCUUGCGCUUUUUUGCUAGUGGAGCCUUCCUGUACUCAGUGGGGGAUGCAGAACAGCUGAACAAGGCCACAAUUUGCCGCACAAUAAGGAGUGUGUGUCUGGCUAUCAAAGCAUUAGCAGAUGUCUUCAUCUCCUUCCCUGGCCACAGAAGACUCUGUGACAUCAAAGAGGAGUUCUAUAGGAUUGCAGAUGGUCUGCAAUGCUGACUGUGUGAUCAGCAAUGUUGUGGCAAAAUGGCCUGGCUCAGUCCAUGACUCCAGAAUCUUUCGGGCCUCUGAAAUCUAUCAGUGCCUAUCACAAGGUGAAUUCUCUGGUGUGUUGCUGGGAGACAGGGGUAUGGCUGCCAGCCUUUUCUCCUGACACCUUUCACAGACCCCCAGGAAGCACAGCAGGCCUACAACCAUGCCCAUGCCAGGACCAGGGCCAGAGUUGAAAUGACCUUUGGCCUCCUGAAGGCACGCUUUCACUGCCUUCACAAAUUAAGGGUCAGCCCUGUUAGGGCAUGUGAUAUUACUGUGGCUUGUGCUGUCCUCCACAAUGUGGCCUGCCUGAGGAAGGAGAGGGCCCCCAGAGUGCCACCAGCCAUGGACUGGGACAAUCCGGCAAUCUUCCCUGAUGACGACAGUGGUCGGCUGCUGAGGGACCAAUAUGUGUUGAAUUAUUUUAGUUAGUAUGUGUGCUUUCAAUUUUGGUUAAAUAUGUCCUGCGGUGGCAGAGGAAUUUGGG